rnacentral:rRNA from 1 species
GGGCGUUAAGUUGCAGGGUAUAGACCCGAAACCCGGUGAUCUAGCCAUGGGCAGGUUGAAGGUUGGGUAACACUAACUGGAGGACCGAACCGACUAAUGUUGAAAAAUUAGCGGAUGACCUGUGGCUGGGGGUGAAAGGCCAAUCAAACCGGGAGAUAGCUGGUUCUCCCCGAAAGCUAUUUAGGUAGCGCCUCGUGAAUUCAUCUCCGGGGGUAGAGCACUGUUUCGGCUAGGGGGCCAUCCCGGCUUACCAACCCGAUGCAAACUGCGAAUACCGGAGAAUGUUAUCACGGGAGACACACGGCGGGUGCUAACGUCCGUCGUGAAGAGGGAAACAACCCAGACCGCCAGCUAAGGUCCCAAAGUCAUGGUUAAGUGGGAAACGAUGUGGGAAGGCCCAGACAGCCAGGAUGUUGGCUUAGAAGCAGCCAUCAUUUAAAGAAAGCGUAAUAGCUCACUGGUCGAGUCGGCCUGCGCGGAAGAUGUAACGGGGCUAAACCAUGCACCGAAGCUGCGGCAGCGACACUCAGGUGUUGUUGGGUAGGGGAGCGUUCUGUAAGCCUGUGAAGGUGGCCUGUGAGGGUUGCUGGAGGUAUCAGAAGUGCGAAUGCUGACAUAAGUAACGAUAAAGCGGGUGAAAAGCCCGCUCGCCGGAAGACCAAGGGUUCCUGUCCAACGUUAAUCGGGGCAGGGUGAGUCGACCCCUAAGGCGAGGCCGAAAGGCGUAGUCGAUGGGAAACGGGUUAAUAUUCCCGUACUUGGUGUUACUGCGAAGGGGGGACGGAGAAGGCUAUGUUGGCCGGGCGACGGUUGUCCCGGUUUAAGCGUGUAGGCUGGUUUUCCAGGCAAAUCCGGAAAAUCAAGGCUGAGGCGUGACGACGAGGCACUACGGUGCUGAAGCAACAAAUGCCCUGCUUCCAGGAAAAGCCUCUAAGCAUCAGGUAACAUCAAAUCGUACCCCAAACCGACACAGGUGGUCAGGUAGAGAAUACCAAGGCGCUUGA